AGCGGGAAGUCCGCGUUCAGCAGCUGGAAGUACCGACGUUAUGUUGCACUUAUUUCUGUCACAGGAAAGAACGAUUCUGUUUUUACUAUUUCCUGAAACAGUCGAAAGGACAGCGCCGCGCGGUGAAACUUACGGAGAAAGAACCGCGCACGGAGAGCGGCGCGUUUACUUCCUGUCCAGUUCCGGUGGAUGUUCUCCAGCUAAGCUACAGAAGCUACACCAACGUCUGUUGGUAAGAGGACCGUGCUGGGACGCAAAGAGAGGACACUGCUGCACUGAAGACAUUUCACAGGAGGCAAAGGGAAGCAGCUGUAGUGAUUUCAGACAUCACCCAGACUCAGAGCGCUGAGGGAGCAAAGUGUCGCUGCCUGUACCUGAAGUGUGUGGAUGUUUCACCCUGAAGAGACGCGGCUGCCUCUGUCAGUGGGAGUGAAAGGAAAGUAAUUAGUUUUCUAACUUUUUAAAUCUUCUGUGCUCUGCGUCUUCAGAGCACUGCUCAACUUUGCUUUUUAAAACACUGUCUUUUGUUUUGUUGUGUAUUUAUUCGUUCCUUCAUUGAUUUGCUUGUGGGAUAAGAAUUGUAGCUCCUGAUUGGUCAAACAGCACUGUCCACAAGAGGAAGGAGGACAGAAAGAGUAGACAGUACUUUGCCCCCCCCCCUCCCAUUAGUCUUGUCUCUGCCUGUUUGGUUGAGCUGAAAACAGAGAUGUCCAGAUGAUGUCUCGGUUCAUGUCUUGAUGAUGUCUCCGUUCCUCUGUCCACAGCCUCCCUCUCCACGCUCUGAACGCAGACAGACUUUUUUUAGUGCAGGCUCUCUGCUGGAAGCAACGUUGCGGAGGAAAGUUGUCACAACAGUCUGAUGGGCUGGGGGCUGCGUGCUGAAUGGUGGCGAACGGCAAAUGGCCAUCGCAGCUCCACUUCACCAAAACAAAUUACUCAGAGCUCCUGGCGGCGUUCAUAGCCCUGAAACAUUUUCAGCCGUUUCUCCAGCACUGUCACAUUUUGAUAAGCUCUGACUGCUCCACAACAAUACCUCACAUCAGCCAUCAGAGGGGAGGCUGUUCUCCUCACAGCGCCCGCCACUGUGAGCAGCACUGUGCGACCUCUCUGCGGUGUCCACGGGAAACUGCUGGAGCUGGUAAAGCAGGUGGUGACAGCAGGUUUAUUUCACGUUCGUGACAAACAGCACACGCUCUGUCUGAAUCACUGAAGGAAGCUGUGGCACUUCACUCACAGAAAACUCAGAGAACAGAGGGAACAUGGCGAUCACUGUACGUCGAACAUGACUUCCUGUUGUCUGUGAUACUGAUACAUAUACCUGUGUAUGUACACAGACGCCCCGCAGCAUACUGGCCCCUGUAGUCUUGUUCGGGACGGACGGACGGACGGACGGAUGGACUUCCACAGCCUCCGAAACAUGACGCAGCAGCAAUAACAUGAUGAAAACACGCCACAGUAAGAGAGUCGAGAUGGGCCACCUGUCCCCCUCCUCUCCACCUGGACCUGGACCUCUGCUGCACUCUUCACAGACAGUAGACCGACACACCUGGUCCUACACUGCCCCCGUGAGGAAGACAUUAGUCACCACAAGUACUCAGGUUUAAGAGGUCUGGUACGCCGCGGAUACCCCACAACAACCAAGAGCUGGAGGAGGCUGCAGUGAAGGCUGGGAGAGCAUCACCAGAGCCCGGGCCGUCACUGGCUGCGACAGGUUUUACACAAAACGUGAAAUAUUAUGAGGAUCUAUUUUGACUUCGUGUGUUUCCGUCCAGUCACGGCUGAACCCGUAAACCCUGAGCACGACGUGUUAAAGGCCUGUUCAGAGCAAGUUUCAGCGUCUACAGAGAGAUGCUGAGUGUUUGCUGCCCUCCGGUGGCCACAGCGAGGAACAACAGCACGUCCAUCAUGGACAGUGAAGCAGGGUCAGCUCAUUGGUCAUGUUUAAUUUAACAUUCUCUGAUAAAGAGGCUCCUGUUAUUACAUGUUGUGUGAAACACCUGAGCAGGACAAACGCUGAUAUUUUCCCAUUUGAUCCGUUUUUUGAUCACAUGUUUUAAAUCGUGCAGUGAUGGAAAGAAACAUUUACACAUUUACUCAAGUACUGUUCUGUACUCUAAUUUUACGGUACCUGUACUUGAUUAGAGUAUUUAAGUUUUCUUUUAUGUUCUACUUCUCCUCCACUGACCGAUAUGAACAUUUUCUCCUGUACACUUCCUCCCCCCCUCCUCUCUGAAAAUAACCUGUGAGUACCACGUGUCUGUGAACGCACCUAACCGCAUGUUCAUGUGUCACAGUCACACUUUUUCCGAGGGCACGGGAACGCACCACCGAUCACAACCCGAGGGCAGCUUAACAACGCGAGCUUAUUCUACGGCUUCGGCGUCGUUUGUGGUUAAAUUCCCACAGACACGAACACAGAAAGGAGGAUCACAACACAACCCGAACCACACAUUUCUGCUGCCAUUCAAAGACGUUUUAUUUGAACGAGAACUUCCUGCUCGGCCGGAACAAGAACUCGUCGCUUCCGGUGGAGAGGUGACGUGUCGCCCUCUGUCGGCAGAGAGAAACAUGACAACACGAACCGAGGAGACAAAGCGGCGACAGGUUCCCGUUGAAACAGGUGAUUUUUAAAAUAAACUUUAUUUAUAGUUUUUAGAACAUGUCGCAACACAAAGAGCACGUCCUCCUAAAAUACAGAGAGAAUCAUAUUUGUAUAUAAAUACAUAAAUAAUACAAAUAAAAUGAUAGAAAAAUAAAAAAUGAGAAAGUGGAUCACAGUGCAUUUUGUGGAAGUUCAGAGGUUUUAUUUUACUGAUCAUACACCUACUCAUUACGGUAGAUUGUAUUAUAUUACACUAUAUUAUAUUUUAUCACAUUAUGCCGCUCCUCUUCAUCAGCACUGUAGAAUACAGAAUAUUGGUUUUAUUUCAGUUUGUUUUACAGUGUGUUCUCCACUGUUUACUUUUGUAUCUGAGAUUUAAUUUAAUUUUGAUUUAUUGGCAGUUUCAUUCUUGUGUUUCUGUUCUUUUGUACCAACUGUUUGUGGCUUAUCUUCACCUAAUUUCCCUCAGGAAACAUUUAUCAACAAUUUAUGAAGAAAGUCAGAAAAUCUUCAUUAAAACAUAUUGAUCCUU